CAGAUUAGCCAUGCAUGUCUAAGUAUAAGCAAAUCUAUACUGUGAAACUGCGAACGGCUCAUUAAAUCAGUUAUAGUUUAUUUGAUGGUACCUUACUACAUGGAUAACUGUGGUAAUUCUAGAGCUAAUACAUGCAUAAAAGGCCCUUCACGGGGUUGUAUUUAUUAGAUAAAAGACCAAUGGGCUUCGGCUCUACUGGUGAAUCAUGAUAACUGCUCGAAUCGCAUGGCCUUGCGCCGGCGAUGCUUCAUUCAAAUACCUGCCCUAUCAGCUUUCGAUGGUAGGAUAGAGGCCUACCAUGGCGAUAACGGGUAACGGGGAGUUAGGGCUCGACUCCGGAGAGAGGGCCUGAGAAACGGCCCUCAUAGCUAAGGCUAGCAGCAGGCGCGCAAAUUAUCCACUCCUAAUACAGGGAGAUAGUGACAAUAAAUAACAAUAGAGGGCUCUUUUGGGUCUUCUAAUUGGAAUGAGUACAAUUUAAAUACCUUAACGAGGAUCAAUUGGAGGGCAAGUCUGGUGCCAGCAGCCGCGGUAAUUCCAGCUCCAAUAGCGUAUAUUAAAAUUGUUGGCGUUAAAAAGCUCGUAGUCGAACUUCGGCCCUUGUCAGCCGGUCCGCUUAUAAUGAGUGUGUACUGGAUCUGGCAGAGGCUUUACCUCCUGGUGAAUUAGCAUGGCGUUUACUCGUCGUGUUAGGGAACCCGGACAUUUACUUUGAAAAAAUUAGAGUGUUCAAAGCAGGCAUGUUUGCCCGAAUAUAUUAGCAUGGAAUAAUAGAAUAGGACGUGCGAUCCUAUUGUGUUGGUCUUUAGGAUCGCCGUAAUGAUGAAUAGGGGCGGUUGGGGGCAUUUGUAUUCAAUUGCUAGAGGUGAAAUUCUUGGAUUUAUUGAAGACAAACUACUGCGAAAGCAUUUGCCAAGGACGCUUUCAUUGAUCAAGAACGAAGGUCGGGGGAUCGAAAACGAUUAGAUACCGUUGUAGUCUCGACAGUAAACUAUGUUGACUGAGGAUCAGUCGGGGUUUUAUCAAUGACCCGAUUGGCACUCAAAGAGAAAUCUUAAGUGAAAUUCGCGGGGGAGUACGGUCACAAGGCUGAAACUUAAAGGAAUUGACGGAAGGGCACCACCAGGAGUGGAGCCUGCGGCUUAAUUUGACUCAACACGGGGAAACUCACCAGGUCCAGACACAAUGAGGAUUGACAGAUUGAUAGCUCUUUCUUGAUCUUGUGGUUGGUGGUGCAUGGCCGUUCUUAGUUGGUGGAGUGAUUUGUCUGGUUAAUUCCGAUAACGAACGAGACCAUCCCCUGCUAAAUAGCCCGGCCGGCUUUGGCUGGUCGCUGGCUUCUUAGAGGGACUUUUAGCGUUUAGCUAAAGGAAGUUGGUGGCAAUAACAGGUUAACGUCUAAUCACAGGCCUGUAAAAGCGGUGUUGCCAACUUGGAAUAUUACAUUAUAAUCCGCUAGUCCAAGAGAUUAAUCAAUGCGGGAAAGCUUCCCAUCGUCGGGCAUUGAAAGGGUUUGAAAUUGAUUUAAACACUUGUCUCUGGGCGACACAACCUGGUACAGGGAACGCCAAACAGGUAAUGCUGAGGUCGAUCCUGUGGUGAGU
rnacentral:rRNA from 1 species